rnacentral:rRNA from 1 species
GAUGAACGCUGGCGGCGUGCCUAACACAUGCAAGUCGAGCGAUUUACUUCGGUAAAGAGCGGCGGACGGGUGAGUAACGCGUGGGUAACCUGCCCUGUACACACGGAUAACAUACCGAAAGGUAUGCUAAUACGAGAUAAUAUACUUUUAUCGCAUGGUAGAAGUAUCAAAGCUUUUGCGGUACAGGAUGGACCCGCGUCUGAUUAGCUAGUUGGUAAGGUAACGGCUUACCAAGGCGACGAUCAGUAGCCGACCUGAGAGGGUGAUCGGCCACAUUGGAACUGAGACACGGUCCAAACUCCUACGGGAGGCAGCAGUGGGGAAUAUUGCACAAAGGGCGAAAGCCUGAUGCAGCAACGCCGCGUGAGCGAUGAAGGCCUUCGGGUCGUAAAGCUCUGUCCUCAAGGAAGAUAAUGACGGUACUUGAGGAGGAAGCCCCGGCUAACUACGUGCCAGCAGCCGCAGUAA